UCCUCAUAAUCACCUCCUCAUUGGCUCUCAUGGGUGGUUGUGGGCGGACCCCUUGCGUCUUAUUGCUGUGUAUGCGGUCUCUCUCGAUUACCGAGUGACCGAGUGAGGCAAGUGUCUUGCUUGGCGUAUCCACAUACUUGCUGAGACUCCACAUUCUUAACCUAAUUGCCAGUCCUGGUGUUUACAAAUUACUGUAAGAACUGCGAAACGCUUUUCGCAAGUCUCUAACAUUUGGGUAAUACCAUACAAGCUCUAAUCUCAAAUUUGGGCCGUAACACCAUCCUAACUGGAUGCAAGUCAGUCACCUGUCUGGGAGCCCACCUUCCGCGUACGCCUCCUGUGUCUGACCCACUUUUUGGUAGAGUGCCCCACGUACACCACCCAACACACUUGAAUGGCUUCACCUGCUAUGCACUGAUUCUGAAGUACUGUGAGGAUAUUCUGAUAUUUUAACCCAAGUUUCAGCCUUCUCAUUAGUCAUUGAUAUGAAUGGUAUUGAUAUAUUAAUUAUCCAUACUUUUACUAUAAAAUGUAGUAAGUACCCUACAUCUGUUAUUCCCUCACUUUUCCAUUCAUUUUAUUGAACUGCUGCAAUGACAGUGUUAUAUUUCUCCAAUUCCAAUUUCAUUUGACUUAAUCCUUAUGUCAAGAAUAAACUUAAGACAUUCAAAGCAGUGAGAUACAACUCACUGUCCUUAUAACCCUUUACUCAGCCAUUUCUCAGAAUUUUCCAUUUGGCAGCCGUCAUGUUUGUUUACACACAUUGUUUUGUGAUAGUAGAUUAUUAGCCUCAUGCUGAACCCCUAUCCUGAAGGACCAGGGGCCACCCUUUCAUCUGGACCUUACCAUUUGACUUAUCUGGUAUGGGUGAUCCUACCAGGAGCUUAUGUACCCAGCAGCAUGGCUGUCUUCGGGUGACCAGUACACAAAAACCUCCCACUAUAUUAAGGUAGUGACCCAGGAGGAGGAACCCAAAACCAGACACAAAAAUCUUUGGUGAUAGACAGCAUUGUUAAAUAGACCAUAAAAAAAAACAGUUUGCUUGGAGAGGGAUGUGCAACUGUGAUAUUGUGCAGUGGGCUAACCCUGUAGCUUUCUUUGCUUAUAGUUUCUGGGGACAUCUCUUUUGUCCCUUGUGGUCCAUAGGCCCCAUCCUUUGGGUGGAGGUUGUACUCUGAAUAUAGCAAUCUAAACGUUCACCUCUAUGAAUGCUUUUGAUUUCACAAAGCAUAAGACAAAAUUUUCAAUAUAUAAAAUAAUGAAAACUGUAACUGGUCAUUUUGUAUAUAGAGUGGACAGACCACUGAAUGUUUUAGGGCUAAUGAAAUGUAAGGGAAAAUAAGUUCCGACUGUAAAGUGAUUAGUUUUGCAACGGUAGAGUCACAUUAAAGUUUGAACAUUAACGCAAGUUCAAAAGAUGAUUUGCAGAGGGAAAGAAGCAGUGAAAUCAUUGGGGUAAGGGCUUUUAUUACACAUAACCAACGUUUUCAAUAACAGUGGGUUACAUCAAGAAACUGUUCACCAUCUUAUAAUACUUACUUUAUAUAACUGUGAUAAAGUGACAUUAAAUAAACAGAACAGUUGUGCAGUAAUAAUUAAUGAUAGCAGGCAAACGUGAGGAAAUUACAGUAUAAUGAAUACGAGUUGAAAUUCACGAAGUAUGGGAAAUGAGGUGUGCCAGGUGCAAAAGGAAAACAGAGGGCUCAGUCUUCUUGCAGUCUUCACCCUUUCUCAGUCCUUUAAUAUUUCCAAUACAUGUUUUUGAAGUCAAUACAACAUGUUUUGACUUUAGUUCAGUUUGGGUGCCAUAUUAGAAGACAAAGUGGAUUGAUAGGCGAAAAAUUUUCAAUAUACUCUAAUGCACUCACAAAUCAACUGAUCUCUGUGUUUCAGUAUGACUGUAAUAGCACGUGCAAGAGGGAGGUCUGUUAGUAACAGCUGGGAGAACUACUGUGAAGUGGGUGAAUAAGGGCACAUGACAGCAUUGUUCCUGAAGUAACUCAUAUUUGAAAAUUUUUGCCAUUUGCGUGAGAAAUCUGGAUGCUUUGGGCUUUGUCUGGGAUCAGAAGAAUAUUUUCUGAAUAUGGGAGUUAACUGUAUGUGCACUGGGGAACAGCAACCCACCAUUGUUUACAUUCUGACAUCAUAGGCAUGUGUUUGUUUCCCCCCCCCAAAUUGGUUGCAGAGAGACAGAACACAGAAUGACCUGGAGAAUGAGAGAACGUAACAUCAAACGAAACGUCAAAGUGGGGCCUCAAGGAUUCUGGAUGCGAGUCCUUUCAGAAGCAUGGCAUGAAAUUAAUCUGAAUUCCAAACAUUAAUUCUGUUUCCUAUCCAAAUGAAUGUCAAAACAUGUGUUCAGAUGUUCUCAGGCUUUAUUAUAACAGUGUUACUGAAAUAGGUUAAUUUUUAUUUUGCUUAAGAGAUGGCCUUUAUGUAGACCAUCUCUCUGUUCUAGUGGUCAGAGUUCCUGGCUACUGAUCCAGAAGUCCAGGUUCAAUUCCCAGUGCUACCAGAUUUUCUGAGAAGUGGUUGGUCUGGAAUGGGUUCCACUCAGCCUCAUGAGGAUAAUUCAGGAGUUAUGUCAAGGAAACAGGAAUGUAUUUAAGGAUGCCAUUGUUUCAUAGCAACUUAUUGCCCCCAGAUUUGUGGGAUUUGUACUCAGCACAAGUCACUCAUGUGUGUGUGUGUGUGCAUGUGUGCGCACUUCAUCCUGGCGCCAUCUAACUCAAUUUUGUCUUUGUAUGGGACUCCCC